AGGCAUCUUUCCCAUGGUAUGCAGAGGGAGGUGUGACACAGAAGCACAGGAGAAGAACCAUCAGAGACACAAGCAGUGACUAGGCUUACAUUGUCACAAGCAAAGGAACACCUGGGACCCGAAGAGCAGAAGUUUCUCCCCGGACCCUCUGAAUGGGCAGAAGGACUGCAGACCACUUACUUUUGAACGUCUUGCUUGCAGAACCGUAAAUAACCACUCAUAAGCUUGGGUUGUGAAAUUCUCAGAGGCAAGCUCAUCACCAGAUGUGGCCCACAGAGAGAAGAGCCCCAGCCUGGCUCUGAGUCCACAUGCAAGGAAGGGCGACCAUGCCCAGAAGAGGAGGGAUGCCAUGGAGGACGGCAGAGAGGACUGAGGCCUUCAGCUCCCCUGAAGCAACAUUUACUUGACAUUGUAAACCGAGGGAUGCACACUGGGGAUGGGACUCUGACCCUCUGUGAGAACAGCCCAGGAACUGUGUGUUGCAUUGCGGAAACCCUCUGAAGGGUCAGCACUGUCGAAACAAAACAAAGUCAAAAUGAAGACCCCAGGCACCCAGUUUAAUGCAAGCUGGAGUUCAGAUGUUGUCUCAGAUAUGAUUCUUAUUCAGCCAGUCAGUAUGUGUUUCCUGAAAUCUCACUGGUGUCACAGAGAGACAGCAGAGUGAUAUGCGUUGGCGGCCGGAUGACUUGAAAUGGCACUGCAAACACAAGAUGAUUUUACUUACGAAAUAUGGAGUUUUCAUAAAAUAGUUUGGGAUGAAGGAGACGGAGAAAAAGAACAAUGGGAAACCCCAGAAGACAAAACCUUUAAAAGUUCUUACGUGCUUGGUAUGCCUCUCCCUACUAAAUGUAAAAGAAAUCCCCCCAAAUAAAUAGUUUAAGAAAGUUUUGUAAACAGCAACUUAAUAAAAUUUACCCUAAUAAAGCUUUAUCAUCUGGUUUCAACAACAAUCCAA
rnacentral:lncRNA from 1 species